AAUUUUCGUUGUUGGGUUUUUGAGCAACCUCAUGUCCCCCUCCCAGGGAGCGUCUUUAUUUACCUCUUAGAAAUGGGACGGAUGGGAGGUAGAGCACUGUUUUCCGCAUGCUUUGUCUUACGAUGAGAUUAUAUAGCAAGGCUUUAAUGCCAUUUGGGCAGGUAAGCUUCUGCGCCUCUGUUGUGCUCAGCUGUAAUCAUGUCCAGUCACUGUUUUGGUUUUGGCACCAUCAAUAUCAAAUGUACAAACGGUUCUUGCUAACCAACACCAGGUAUAUCUGAUGUUCAGAUGAGUUCCAAUAAAAACAAUUUUUUUUUUU
rnacentral:lncRNA from 1 species